rnacentral:tRNA from 1 species
GCCUGGGUGGCUCAGUCGGUUGAGCGUCUGACUUCAGCUCAGGUCACGAUCUCAUGGUUUGUGGGUUCAAACCCCACAUCAGGCU